rnacentral:rRNA from 1 species
AAAAAGGAAGUGGGGACGCAGGAGGAUAAUAAGAGCGCCCAGUUGGUGAGGCGUGCAAGCGCAAAGUCUGAAAAGUAGGCAAAACCGCUUUUCGAAAAAGAUGAAGCGUGAUGCGGAUCGAAAACAAGUAGAGAAGCUUAAGACUCCACACUGCCAAGAAAAGCCACUACAAGAGAAGUAUCGCCCGUACCGCAAACCGACACAGGUAGGUGAGGAGAGAAUCCUAAGACGAGCGGAAAAACCUUUGUUAAGGAACUCGGCAAAAUGACCCCGUAACUUCGGGAGAAGGGGAACCCCUGUAAAAGGGGGUCGCAGUGAAAAGGCCCAAGCGACUGUUUACCAAAAACACAAGUUUCUGCUAAGUUGAAAAACGAAGUAUAGGAGCUGACACCUGCCCGGUGCUGGAAGGUUAAGGGAAAGAGUAAGCGCAAGCGAAGCUUAGAACUGAAGCCCCAGUAAACGGCGGCCGUAACUAUAACGGUCCUAAGGUAGCGAAAUUCCUUGUCGGGUAAGUUCCGACCCGCACGAAAGGUGUAACGAUUUGGGCACUGUCUCAACAAAGGAUCCGGUGAAAUUGUAGUAGCGGUAAAGAUGCCGCUUACCCACGACAGGACGGAAAGACCCCGUGGAGCUUUACUGUAGGCUGAGAUUGAAUUUUGGGAUUAAAUGUACAGAAUAGGUGGGAGGCA